AACGCACCUUGCGCCCCUUGGCUAUUCCGAAGGGCAUGCCUGUUUGAGUAUCAUGAACACCUCAACCCUCGUGGUUCACCACGAUCGGCUUGGACUUUGGAGGUUUUGCUGGCCCCCCCCUUGUGCGGUCGGCUCCUCUCAAAUGAAUCGGCUUACCAGUGUUUGGUGGCGUUGCAGGUGUGAUAACUAUCUACGCUUGUGGCCGUCUGCCAUGCAACCUUCAGCGAUGAGGGUUCGCUGGGGCUCACAGAUGUCUUUCCCGAGUGAAGACAGCCUUUUGAUCGUUCGAUCUCAAAUCAGGUAGGACUACCCGCUGAACUUAA
rnacentral:misc_RNA from 1 species